AGUGGGCGUGCAGGAGAAGCUGUAGGUCAGGAGGUAGAGUUGGCAGUGGGCGUGCAGGAGAAGCUGUAGGUCGGAGAGGUAGAGUUGGCAGUGGGCGUGCAGGAGAAGCUGUAGGUCGGAGAGGUAGAGGUGGCAGUGGGCGUGCAGGAGAAGCUGUAGGUCGGAGAGGUAGAGGUGGCAGUGGGCGUGCAGGAGAAGCUGUAGGUCGGGGGGUAGAGGUGGCAGUGGGCGUGCAGGAGAACCUGUAGGUCAGAGUGGAGAGGUGGCAGUGGGCGUGCAGGAGAAGGUGUAGGUCGGGAGGUAGAGGUGGCAGUGGGCGUGCAGGAGAAGCUGUAGGUC
rnacentral:lncRNA from 1 species